rnacentral:rRNA from 1 species
GACGAACGCUGGCGGCGUGCCUAAUACAUGCAAGUAGAACGCAGUUGCGAACGGGUGAGUAACGCGUAGGUAACUGCCUCAUAGCGGGGGCUAACUAUUGGAAACGAUAGCUAAUACCGCAUACUGUGAGAUGGACCUGCGUUGUAUUAGCUAGUCGGUGAGGUAAAGGUCCCCCAAGGCGACGAUACAUAGCAGACCUGAGAGGGUGGUCGGGCCAACUGGGACUGAGUCACGGCGCUGAAUCCCACCGGAGGCAGGCGUAGGGGAGCUUCGGCCAUGGGCGGAAGUCUGACCGCGCCACGGCGCGGGAGUGAAGAAGGUUUUCAGGUCGUAAAGAUUUGUUCUUGGAGAAGCGUUAACUAACCAGAAAGGGCCGGCUAACUACGUACCAGCAGCCGCGGUAAUAC